rnacentral:rRNA from 1 species
GACUAACGCUGGCGGCGUGCCUAACACAUGCAAGUCGAGCGGUUUCUGAACCGGAGACCGGAGCUCAGAGACAUAAGAAGGGGAAAGCGGCAGGAGAGCCCGAGAGGGAAGGAAUGGCGAAGCGACCUGAAGGAUAUGUGUCUGGAUUCCGGCUCUGGUUCAGAGACAGCGGCGGACGGGUGAGUAACGCGUGGGCAACCUGCCCUGCACAGUGGGAUAACACCGUGAAAACGGUGCUAAUACCGCAUGAGACAAUAGUGAGACAUCUCACAGUUGUCAAAGGAGAAAUCCGGUGCAGGAUGGGCCCGCGUCCAAUUAGCUAGUUGGUGAGAUAACAGCCCACCAAGGCGACGAUUGGUAGCCGAGCUGAGAGGUUGAUCGGCCACAUUGGGAUUGAGAACGGCCCAGACUCCUACGGGAGGCAGCAGUGGGGAAUAUUGCGCAAUGGGGAAACCCUGACGCAGCAACGCCGCGUGAA